AGCUCUGUAAGCGUAUACCAAAGUUGUUGCAGUUAAAACGCUCGUAGUCGGAUUUUGGCGUGGUGCUUCUGAGAUGCCUGAUUGGGUGUCGAAGGUUAGUCCCGCCUUUGUGGAGGGGGGCGUGGUGGCGCUUUAUUGCGUUGCUGCGUUUCCGCCACUGUUUACUGUGAAAAAAUUAGAGUGUUCAAAGCGAGCGAUUGCCAUGAAUACAUUAGCAUGGAAUAAUAGAAUAGGACCUGGUCCUGUUUUGUUGGUUUGUCGGUAUCAGGUAAUGAUUAAGAGGGACGGUCGGGGGCAUUUGUAUUCCAGGGUUAGAGGUGAAAUUCUUAGAUCCUUGGAAGACAAACAGCUGCGAAAGCGUCUGCCAAGGACGUUUUCA
rnacentral:rRNA from 1 species